rnacentral:rRNA from 1 species
UACGAAGGGGGCUAGCGUUGUUCGGAAUUACUGGGCGUAAAGGGCGCGUAGGUGGUUCGAUAAGUCAGAAGUGAAAGCCCUGGGCUCAACCCAGGAAUUGCUUUUGAAACUAUCGAGCUUGAGUUCGAGAGAGGUAAGUGGAAUUCCCAGUGUAGAGGUAAAAUUCGUAGAUAUUGGGAGGAACACCAGUGGCGAAGGCGGCUUACUGGCUCGAAACUGACACUGAGGCGCGAAAGCGUGGGGAGCAAACAGG